rnacentral:rRNA from 1 species
GUAAUUAACUUAUUGAAGUUGUACUUGUUAGUAAAAACUAAUUAGAAUGGAGUUUUGAAUAGAGUUAUGAGACGCGUACAAAUCGCCCGGCGCCCUUAUAUUAAAAUUAAGGUAAGUCGUAACAUAGUAAUGCUAGUAGAAACUGGUGUUAAG